GUGGGGAAUCUUAGACAAUGGGCGCAAGCCUGAUCUAGCCAUGCCGCGUGAGCGAUGAAGGCCUUAGGGUUGUAAAGCUCUUUCAGGGGGGAAGAUAAUGACGGUACCCCCAGAAGAAGCCCCGGCUAACUCCGUGCCAGCAGCCGCGGUAAUACGGAGGGGGCUAGCGUUGUUCGGAAUUACUGGGCGUAAAGCGCACGUAGGCGGACCAGAAAGUCAUGGGUGAAAUCCCGGGGCUCAACCCCGGAACUGCCUUUGAAACUCCUGGUCUUGAGGUCGAGAGAGGUGAGUGGAAUUCCGAGUGUAGAGGUGAAAUUCGUAGAUAUUCGGAGGAACACCAGUGGCGAAGGCGGCUCACUGGCUCGAUACUGACGCUGAGGUGCGAAAGCGUGGGGAGCAAACAGGAUUAGAAACCCCGGUAGUCC
rnacentral:rRNA from 1 species